UACGUAGGGACCAAGCGUUGUUCGGAUUUACUGGGCGUAAAGGGCGCGUAGGCGGCAAUUCAAGUCAGCUGUGAAAUCUCCGAGCUUAACUCGGAACGGUCAGCUGAUACUGUUUUGCUAGAGUGCAGAAAGGGCAACCGGAAUUCUUGGUGUAGCGGUGAAAUGCGUAGAUAUCAAGAGGAACACCUGAGGCGAAGGCGGGUUGCUAGGCUGACACUGACGCUGAAGCGCGAAAGCUAGGGGAGCAAACAGG
rnacentral:rRNA from 1 species